AUGCGAACGAGAGUGCCCGGUCCCAGAUCCGGAGGGGAUGUGAAAAAGCCAGGAGACUCUCUCCGCCUCUCCUGCAAAGCCUCUGGGUUCACCUUCAGCAAUCACAGACAGCAUUGGGUCCGACAGGCUCCCAGGAAGGGGCUGGAGUCGGUCGCUACAGUCAAUCAGCCAAGUGGCUCCAAACAAUGGUAUUCCCCAGCUGUUCAAGGCCGAUUCACCAUCUCCCGAGACACUUCUGUCAGCUCGGCUUAUCUGCAAAUGACCGGCCUGAAACCCGAGGACACCUCCCGCUAUUACUGUGCCAGACACACAGUGAAACACAACCUAAUACUGGUGCAGAAACCUUGGCUGCACCAUCUCCUGUGA